UUGACCUCAAAUCAGGUAGGACUACCCGCUGAACUUAAGCAUAUCAAUAAGCGGAGGAAAAGAAACUAACAAGGAUUCCCCUAGUAACUGCGAGUGAAGCGGGAAGAGCUCAAAUUUGAAAUCUGGCGGUCCUUGGCCGUCCGAGUUGUAAUCUAGAGAAGUGCUACCUGUGCUGGACCGUGUACAAGUCUCCUGGAAUGGAGCAUCGCAGAGGGUGAGAAUCCCGUCUUUGACACGGACUGCCAUGUACGUCAUGGUGCGCUCUCGAAGAGUCGAGUUGUUUGGGAAUGCAGCUCAAAAUGGGUGGUAAAUGCCAUCUAAAGCUAAAUAUUGGCGAGAGACCGAUAGCGAACAAGUACCGUGAGGGAAAGAUGAAAAGAACUUUGGAAAGAGAGUUAAACAGUACGUGAAAUUGCUGAAAGGGAAACGCUUGAAGUCAGUCGCGUCGGCCAGAAAUCAGCCUUUGCUUUUGCUUGGUGUACUUUCUUGGUUGAUGGGUCAGCAUCAAUUUCGACCGUCGGAUAAAGUCGUCGGGAAUGUGGCAUCUUCGGAUGUGUUAUAGCCCGGCGUCGCAUACGGUGGUUGGGAUUGAGGAACUCAGCACGCCGAAAGGCCGGGUCUC
rnacentral:rRNA from 1 species